UUUUCACACACACGCACUAGA
rnacentral:misc_RNA from 1 species